AGGAUAAUAGUUCAGAGGUAGAAUAGCGGUUUCCAAAACCGAAGGACAAGGGUUCAAAUCCCUUUUUUCCUG
rnacentral:tRNA from 1 species